GUUUGUUUAGUUUAAGUAGAAUGGGAGCUUUGUAAGUUCCAUGAGCUAAAAAUGAUAAGAUAUUAAAUU
rnacentral:tRNA from 1 species